CCAGCAGCCGCGGUAAUACGGAGGGUGCGAGCGUUAAUCGGAAUUACUGGGCGUAAAGCGCAUGCAGGCGGCCUGUUAAGUCAGAUGUGAAAGCCCGGGGCUUAACCUCGGAAUUGCAUUUGAAACUGGCAGGCUAGAGUCUUGUAGAGGGGGGUAGAAUUUCAGGUGUAGCGGUGAAAUGCGUAGAGAUCUGAAGGAAUACCAGUGGCGAAGGCGGCCCCCUGGACAAAGACUGACGCUCAGAUGCGAAAGCGUGGGGAGCAAACAGGAUUAGA
rnacentral:rRNA from 1 species